AUUGAAAAUACAUUUUAUUUUAUUUAUUUAUUUGUCCUUUUUUUUUAGCAAAACCAUUUAACCUUAUCUUGUACUCUAGCAAGGUUGCAUAGAGACAGGAAUUUGAUUUUAUUCUUCACUGAGCAGAGCUUCUUUAAUUUAGGUUGCCAUCGAUGACCAUAGCUAAUUGAAAUAGUUACUUUUGUCCAGGGCAGUGGAUUUUUCCAUGCCGUGCUUGGAUAGGUCCCUUUUGUCCCAGGCAGGGAUCCAUUCUUUUUUGACCAGCUGCUUGGGAUAGUUUAGGGCAAGGGUGUGUGUGCAGUAGUUUUCCAUUAGGUUUUGGCAGACACCAUUUUAACUUCGGUGAGCACACAGCUUAUGUGCAGUUUUGAAGCCAGUAGAGAAAUUACAAUUUUUCCUUACCAUUCUGAAGGCAUAUCUCUAGACUUAUUUUCUUUUUGAGCAGCCUUAUUUUCCAGUUUGUAAGCUGCUUAUCUUUAUUACCUGCAUGAGGUCAGAAAGCAGUAUUUAAAUCAUUUUUGAGCCUGUUUUGCUGAAAGUCAUCGAUGGUGCCAAGGUGGGACGUAAUUCCCUGACGACUUCUAGUCAUUGAAGCCGAGCAUUUCCGAAAGUCGCGAAGGACAACGAGAUUCCCCGAGAUUCACCGAGAGUAAACGAACAAGAGAUACCAUUGAUUUUGGUGACGUAUACACGUGAUUGUUUGUCGAACUGAAGCAGGAAUGAUUGAUAGAACUAUGAACACUAAUGAGAAUGAUAAUCCGAUGGACAUUAAUUGUUCAGUUAUUUAGAAACUUGAUUUUAUAGGGGAACUUUCAACAUAUGUUGCUUUUUAUUUUAUCUCAGUCCUUGACUGAUGUUGAAUAUAAAUACUUGUGUUCGUGGAUGGAUCAAUACAGGAUCCUCACAGUUGAUGUUAGUGUUGAGAUGAGACAAACGAUGCUUAAGAGGAAAAGAAGACAGUU